rnacentral:rRNA from 1 species
GACGAACGCUGGCGGCGUGCUUAACACAUGCAAGUCGAACGGAAAGGCCCUGCUUUUGUGGGGUGCUCGAGUGGCGAACGGGUGAGUAACACGUGAGUAACCUGCCCUUGACUUUGGGAUAACUUCAGGAAACUGGGGCUAAUACCGGAUAGGAGCUCCUGCUGCAUGGUGGGGGUUGGAAAGUUUCGGCGGUUGGGGAUGGACUCGCGGCUUAUCAGCUUGUUGGUGGGGUAGUGGCUUACCAAGGCUUUGACGGGUAGCCGGCCUGAGAGGGUGACCGGCCACAUUGGGACUGAGAUACGGCCCAGAAUCCUACGGGAGGCAGCAGUGGGGAAUAUUGCACAAUGGGCGGAAGCCUGAUGCAGCAACGCAGCGUGCGGGAUGACGGCCUUCGGGUUGUAAACCGCUUUCGCCUGUGACGAAGCGUGAGUGACGGUAAUGGGUAAAGAAGCACCGGCUAACUACGUG